CGUAGGCACCAAGCGUUGUCCGGAUUUAUUGGGCGUAAAGAGCUCGUAGGCGGUUCAGUAAGUCGGGUGUGAAAACUCUGGGCUCAACCCAGAGACGCCACCCGAUACUGCUGUGACUUGAGUACGGUAGGGGAGUGGGGAAUUCCUGGUGUAGCGGUGAAAUGCGCAGAUAUCAGGAGGAACACCAGUGGCGAAGGCGCCACUCUGGGCCGUAACUGACGCUGAGGAGCGAAAGCGUGGGUAGCAAACAGG
rnacentral:rRNA from 1 species